UACGUAGGGGGCGAGCGUUGUCCGGAUUCAUUGGGCGUAAAGCGCGGGCAGGCGGCCCGCUCAGUCGGCCGUGAAAGCGCCGGGCUCAACCUGGAGACGCCAUUCGAUACUGCUGUGGCUAGAGUCCAGUAGGGGAGUGUGGAAUUCCCGGUGUAGUGGUGGAAUGCGUAGAGAUCGGGAGGAACACCAGUGGCGAAAGCGACCUUCUGGGCUGCACCUGACACUCUAGUGCGAAAGCGUGGGAGCAAACAGG
rnacentral:rRNA from 1 species